UACGGAGGGUGCAAACGUUGCUCGGAAUCAUUGGGCGUAAAGCGCACGUAGGCGGCUCGUUAAGUCGGAUGUGAAAGCCCUGGGCUCAACCCAGGAAGUGCAUCCGAAACUGGCGAGCUAGAGUACUAAAGAGGAUCGCGGAAUUCCCGGUGUAGAGGUGAAAUUCGUAGAUAUCGGGAGGAACACCGGUGGCGAAGGCGGCGAUCUGGGUAGAUACUGACGCUGAGGUGCGAAAGCGUGGGGAGCAAACAGG
rnacentral:rRNA from 1 species